rnacentral:misc_RNA from 1 species
UGCAACUUCACUGGCAUUGUUGGAAUCCUCCCACCCAGUUGAUUUUGUCCAAGUUGGAGUUCUAACAGAUAAUUCAUGAAGUUGAUGCUGUCAGGUAUCGAACCCCUAAGAUAGUUGCCUUGUAAGUUCAAGUAAGCAAGGCUUUGCAAGUUCGAAAUUGUAGAAGGUAUUAAGCCAGAAAGAGAAUUCCAGCUUAUAUUGAGAGUUGACAGCUUGUGUAAUUG